CGCGGGAUGGAGCAGUUUGGUAGCUCGCUGGGCUCAUAACCCGGAGGCCGUUGGUUCAAAUCCAGCUCCCGCAACCA
rnacentral:tRNA from 1 species